GGCUUUUGUUUUCUGUUUUUCCAUUUUCUCAUUUUCCAUGACUCUUAACAUAUUUAUGACCUGGGGCUUUUUUUGGGUGGGAUCCUGACGGAAUGUUAGUGCUAUUCAGUAGUUCUGGUGGGAGUUGGGGGUGGGCAAUGGGGUGAAUCUGAAACUUGCCCCAAAUUUGCAUUCUAGUCAUCAGUACAGAUUCUAUACGUCUUCGAUGUUUGAUUAAGAGGUGCAUGGUAUGGGACUGGCAAGAUGGCUCAGCCAGUAAAGGUGCUUAUAGCCAAGCCUGAAGAUCGGACUUCAAUCCCCAAUCCUCACAUGGUGAGAAGAGAGAGCUUACUCCCCCAAGUUGAUCCCUAAUUUCCAUGCACUAAAUAGAUAGGUAGGUGGAUAGGCAAGUAGAUAGGUCGGUAGGCAGAUAGACAGACAGACAGAUAGACAGGCAGGCAGGCAGACGUGGUAUGGCUGGUAUGAGUUGGAGUUAACUUGGCCUUCCUCACACAGCGAGGUUGAAUAAAAUCCUUGACCUGAUUCCUUACUUUAACACUUGUAUUCUGGGAUGUCGGGGAAAGACCUGAAGGGACAAUGUUAUUAAAGGUCAGAAGGACCAUGGAGCUAUAGAAGAUCAGUCCUAGGGCGAUUCAUCAGCACAGUCCUUGCCUUGUCUGAACCGUGUCCUUGUCUGUGUAGUUAGGUAUUAGUUUGUCAUCUUGGCCACCGGAUCACUUUUGUAGACCCUUACACUACCUUUACUUUGACUAUGAGGAAGCUGGUUUCCAGAGAGCCCAGCCAACCCGAACAGUUUGCUGUUAGGGGAGCCAUCAGCACUCUGCUUACCUGAAGUAGUCUUCACUCCUACUGACUGUCUCACUGUCAUUACUAACUCUCUCCUUUGUGUCCUGGCUCAGGGGGUAGGGGUGGGGUGUCCAUCACAGACUAUGACCACAGGGUGAACCCAGAAAUGUAGAUGGACAAGCAACCCCAGGCCCUUUGUGGGAAGAUUCCUUGUUCUAAGCCUCUGCAGGUACCUUGUAGCAGCUCCACUCCUGGCUAGACUUGAUGCUAAGGCAUGGCCUGAGCAAUUCUAAGUGUGAGUGGCUGAAUGCUGCCAGCAUUUGGUUAGCUGGAAAGCACAUACUUGGGCCUCGGUUGGGUGGGGUCCUGGCUAGUUGGGACUCUUUGGGGCGGGGGUGGGGAACUUCGUGAUUUCACUUGUUUCGCUGAGGAGGUGUGUUUGGAGUUGAGUCUUUAGAGGGGGAGGCUGGAGAGCAGCUGUGGGAAAGUCUGGGAUCCGGCCGAGGUGUUUUCCCAGAGGACUGUGGGGGUGUCGCCAGGGCAAUGGGGAGAGGAAGGAGACAAACCCCUCUCCUAAGAUAGCCCAUGACAGGGUGCUUCCCAAAUGAGCCAAGAUAGGACAAGAACCCAAAUGUGGCCAAGCUGUAAUUCCAUGUGGCAGUGCUGAGAUCCAACCUGGCUUUGUGGGGUUUUUGUAUUGUAUUGGUCCUUGGAGGUCUUGACCUCAGUUUUUCUAGAGGAUGCUCAGGGGGAAGGUGUCUACAGUUAAAUAAAACACUGUCUUUGCAGGUGUCUUUCAGACCCAUAAUUAAAGACUCUGUGAUGAGCGGUUGGCCAAAGGAUUUUCUGUUCUGCCCUGCCUGGGCUUCAGGGGUGUUCGUAUGUGGAGAAAACCAAACACUUUUAAGUUCUUUAGGAUGUCCAGCCAGUUAUCCUGUCCAUAACUGCAGGUCCACAGCUGGUUGUAGGUACCUAGAGCCACUGGGCGUCACUAUCCUGGCUUCCCCUCAAUUUCCCACUCUAUGCAUGAGGCUCUGUGCAUAACCCUAUGAAAAGGCAGCAUGAGGGGCUGCAUAUCAACACCUCAGGCUCACCUGCACACACGUGGGGCACCUCAGGCUCACCUGCACACACCUGGGGCCACCUCAGGCUCACCUGCACACUCCACACCUGGGGCCACCUCAGGCUCACCUGCACACACCUGGGGCCACCUCAGGCUUACCUGCACACACCUGGGGCCACCUCAGGCUCACCUGCACACACCUGGGGAUACAGAAAAUUCAGUCAUCAUAUCUUUUAUGAUUGAUUGUCCAUGCAAAGAAGUGAUUGGUUCUGAGAUCAGCUCUCCCUCCCUCCCUCCCUUCCUUUCUCCCUCCCUGCCUCCCUUCUUUCCUUCCUUUCUCCUUCCUUCCUUUCUUCCUUCCUUCCUUCCUUCCUUCCUUCCUUCCUUCCUUCCUUCUCCUUUCCUUUUAUUGGAUACUGGGGGUCAAAUCUAGAUAAGCACUCUACCACUGAUCUUGGUCCCACAUCCUUCACUUGUGUUUCUUCAUUAUUUGGGGGUGGCGUUUUCAAACUUCUUUAGAUUGACUCAGGUAUUUUUUAUUUUAUUUCACUCUAUUCUUUAAUUUGGUGCAGUCUCCAUAUUUCCAAGCCAAAGAAUCUUUUCAGUUUUCCUGGUAAGGGGCCAACGUCCUUCAUUUUCAUUAAUACCUUUGGUCUAGCGUUAUCUGGGUGUUUUUCACAGUGUGUGUGUGUGUGUGUGUGUGUGUGUAGGAGCAGAACUUCCUUUGCUCUCUCUUUUGAUCCCAGCUUCUUCUUUAACACUUCUCCUUUGGAGCCUGGCACUCGUCCUUUGCAGAAAUAGAUGGGGUUUGACUCCUGCUUGAUUAUUUAAAGCUGAGUGACCACGGAAACGUUGCUGCAUCUCUGAGCACUUGUUUCCUUGGACUGAGGCACAAUACAAAUAGUCUUCAGACAGGUGGGACUCUGAAUUGCUACACCCAUGGCUUCUUCCUGACCCCAGAUCCUUCCUUACCUACCCUUGAGACCCAUCUGGGGCUUGAAGGCAAACUUCACAUCAUAGGUGAUGCUUAAGAUAGAAGCAGUCAUGUUGGGCAGAGUCAGCUUCGGACAGAGUCAGCUUGGGCCUGGGUGGUGAAUGUGAGGAGGUUCAGGACAAAUGUCCAAGUCUGGUUUGAGGCUCAAGGAGUUGCAGAACACAAACCAUGGGACAGGACAUGCCUUGGAGAGCCAGCCUGUGCUGAGCUGCAGGGAUAGGACUGUAACGGAGGCAGUGACGGGGGCAGUGAUGGAGGUGGUAACGGAGGCUGUAGUGUGCAGAGCUCAAGGCCAUGGGCAAGGCCAGCACUAAAGCUGUCAGCCAUUUCAUCUUCACCACAGCCAUGGAGGAGGUUGGUGCCAUCUCUAGAGGGGGGGGUAUGGGUCCCAGAGGCAGAAGUCAUUUACCCUGUUAGCAUUCUGUCUAAGCUCUACCCUACAAUUACCUGGCAAUAGUCAGGUAGGGAAAGGGGCUGUUACCUCCCCCCCCUCUCUUUUUCUCUCUUGCUCUCUUCUCCUCUUCCCCCCCACAUGCUUAUGGCCAGCCAGCCUCUUCUCCCCCCCCCUCUCUCUGCCUUUCUUUGUCUCUACUACCCUCUUAACUCCCCUCCCCAUGCCCCGAAUAAACUCUAUUCUAUACUAUACCAUCCAUCGUUGUGUGGUUGGUUCCUCAGGGGGAAGGGAUGCCUUGGCAUGGGCCUGCAGAGGCAUCUCCUACCCCCACACCUCCAUAGAACAUAUUCCCCCUGUCUUUAUCUUUUUAGAAACACAUCCCCUCCCUCAGUGCCGGCUAAGUGAGUGCUGAAGCCCAGAGUGGAUUCUGGGCUUGGCAGCCUGGCAGAGCUCCCUCUGAGCUGCAGCCUAGUGCAUAACGAAGCCAGCUAAGGGGCAGCUUGAUCCUCAGAGCCUUUCCCAUGCAGGCUCUGAACCUUUCAUUGCAACCUUUUCCAUGUACUGGGGAAAACAGCUCUACCCAGGCACCUUGCAUGCAAUACGAUUCAUUUAGUUGGACCAUCGAGUGGCGUUUUGUUGCUGUUUUGCUUUUAGCAAAUUUUCAAGACAACAUAACCCAUCAAUAUCCAAUUGUAUUGCUUACCAGGAGUCAGCAAUCCCAGCCUGGGUGGCUUGACCAAGCCAGCUCAGUCAGUCAACAGGUUCUCCAGAGCAGGAGUGAGGUUUUUGUUUUUUGUUUUGUUUUGUUUUUUUAAAGGACAAUUAGACCCCAGCCAGUUCUGUGACUAAAGUGGGUUUAUUUUUUUCCAGUCUGCUUUAUACCACUUUAAGUACAUGCAAAAUAAUAAGAUCAAUUCUGGGUCAAGGAACAAGCAAGGCAAUAAACAAAAUUCCGCAAUGAGGAUGACUGAGACAAAACGGAUGUGCACAGGCCUCAGUUGAGCCCGCUCUGAGCUUUGCAUCAACUCAAAUGUAAAUGUUCUUACUCUGAGCCUGCCCGGUGGUCUCCCUCCCCAACCCCCACCCCCACCCCCGAGUCCUGGCCCAAAGUCAGAUCCCUGCCUUCAGUUUAUUCUAUUGUCCUGGCCUGAUAUCAAAUUUCCCGCCAAGUUCCUAGAAGCGGCCCCCAAAAGCUCUUCACAGUGGCUUUGCUAAGUGACUUCUGUUUCACCUUGUAUGGCUACAGUUCUUGGCCGGGACGCUUCACACGCAUCACUUAUGCUGUGGGCUCCUCUUGCUUUGCUCUGAGGGAGGCCACGCUUGCUGUUCUGUCCUUGCAGUACUUCUCUCGCUCCCUCACCCCAUGCACCCAACACCUCCUUUUAUCUCAUCUCCCCUUGCUUCCUUUUUAUAAAAUAAAUACAGCCUCAUGGAGCCCAGGCUAGCCUUGGACUCUUCAUGGAGCCAAGGAUCACGUUAAAUCCCUGUUUCUCGUGCUGCUACCCCUGAAGUGCUGGGAUGACUACCAGUGUGCCCUGCCUGCCUGGGACGCUCAGAGCUUUCGUGCCACACGACUCACAUUUUGUCCACUCCCUCGUUGAUGGACAUUUGGGAAUUUUUAUUUUGCCCAGCAGGUUCUUUGGCUGAGCAUUUUGACUGCCCCACUGUACACCUGAAAUUCCUUUGACCUGAUUUGAAGUGCCUUGGGUCCUUUUCAAGCCCACUCCAUGGUCUCCUAAAGCCUCCCCCCGCCCCCGCCCCGCUUCCCAGCAACAGUCCACUCAGAUGCUUUCUCAUUUGUCUUUGGGAGUCUGUUCUCAUCCCUCCAACUUGUCUGCCAGGGGACUGCCGCCAGCCAGCCAGCCAGCCAGCCAGCCAGCCAGCCAGCCAGCUGUGGAAAUCAAUUUAAAUCGAAUAGUGGCUUGCUCUCUCCCAAGAGGCGAGGUAAUUUUCUGUGAUGGGAAGGAGGAUAAUGAGGGGCGGUUUGGACUUGACCUGGCUCCUCCAUGAAAGAGCUGGGACUUCCAGAACUCCACUGUCUUGAGUGUUAAUUAAAACAGCUCCUGGGGUGAAGAACAAGAGACAGAAGCAAGCCGCAGUGGGGCCCAGAGCCUGAACUUUCUGUUCUCUGCUUCCCUUUUCACAGUGUCAGCAAGCUUAUGCUGUUCAGAGUGCUCAGUGUGGGACAGUAGUGUGGCUCCUGGGACAUCCAUUUUCCCUCUCUGCAGCACCUAUGUCCCUCAGGGCUCAGGUCAUGGCUGGGGUCCCAUGAGGGUAUACCACCUAGCUCCCUGUACUUAUGUGGAUGGGAGUUCAUGGCAAAGACAAGGAUUUCCCAUCUCCCCAUGUUCAGGAAGCUUGUGAUGGGACGAUGACAUGGGGAUCAAGGGCAGGGACCUGCCUACUGCUCCCUGCGGAUGGCAUCUAGCCACAGGAGUGGAUGGGAACGGAAACAUUAAUGUGAUGUCACUGUACAUGCUUGCUUAUUCUGAGCGCCUGUCUAGGAUUUCCGAUGCUCAUCUCUCCUUGGGAUCCUUGGGGUUGGGAGAGCAUUAGAUGGGUUCAGCUGUAUUUGCUGGCAUCCCAGUUCUGUCACUUAUCUAUGGGACCCUGUUCCUUCACUCGACUGAACCUUGGUGUCUGUACUCUCCCAUGAGUGUGCUCUAGGUCUUGUCAGCUACAGAGGUGCCCUGAAAUGUGGUUUCCCUAUGACCUGUGAGGCAUAAAACCCCCCAUUUCUCUGAUUCCUUUGGAGGCCCCCAGAAGUGGUCGAUACCAGAGCUCACAGGGCCCAGAAAAAAAAAAUUCUGUUGAAGCCCUUGGAGAAAAGACGCUCACUGCUUGAUUCCCUUUGGAAGCAGACCGUUCAUUUUAGCUGGCGUUCAUAAAUCAAAUGCUCAGGAAGACACUUUACCGUUUCGCUAAUGAAGCUGAGUGCAGCCGGAUUGGAAAUAGCUUUUGAGGGCCUAGGAAAGGGGAUCUAAUGAUUCUCCUGUUCUGACUGUGCUUUUAUGACAUUGAGAAGAGCAGUUGGCGCUGCUAAAAAUAAAUGAUUCAGCUUAAUGGGAAUUACCUACCAAACAGGGGCGAUGGCAUUCCACCAGCCAACUUCAUGUGGGGAAUGAGAUAGUGACCACAGUUACGUCCUGUUUUAUUCAUUUAAAAAAAUGUUUCGUCAAAUGUUUUCCUUUGAUCAUUUUAUUACAAUGUGUGUGAUGUAUUCUGAUUCUACUCACCCCACCAUCUCUUAGCUCUUCCAGAUCCCUGUCAAGACCCCUCCUCCCUAAAACUCCCCUUCCUGAAUUUGUGUCUUUUCGUUUGGUUUUGUGACUUGCUGAGUUUAACUAGGGCCGCCCGUGUGACCAUGGGUUUGGAAUUGUCCACUGGAGUCUGGUUAUGUCAUGCAUUUCAGCUAGUAACUUACAGAUCUGUAUUCUUGGCCUUUAAGAUCUUAAAUACGUAAUAUGCGAAUAGGAUUUUAAUUCGUAAAAUAGUGGCUACCAAGAUUUUCCCUAUGAAAAUGCAAGUUUCUGACUGGUCCUGUUUAAUGGACACCAACCCCGGCUUGGUGUGUCCUCAGCCCUUCUUGUGCCUUUUGUUUAUUUGUGUGAAACAGGGUCUCAUGUAGCCCAAGCUGAGGGCAACCUCAGACUUCUGAGCUUACCUGCUGUCGUGUGACACCACAUAUGCAUUUUGCAAGGCUGAUAGAACCCAGCACCUCCAGCAUGUUAGAUAGACACCCCACCAACUGGGCCACACGCCUGGCUCAUUCAGUAGCUGACUUUAUGGAGACUUUGUACAGUCUUAUGGAGCAAACUCUACCCCCGCCAACCCCCAUCUCAAAGGUGAGGAAACAAGGGCGAGAAAGGUUAAGUGUCACAUCAAGGCCACGCACUCAAGGUCAUGUGACCUAGAGGUGAAGUAGCCAUCUGGCGCCUGUGACUCUGUCUCCCUACGCAUCACACCGUUCUGUGAACAUAACUUUGCUUUCCAAUAUGCAGAGUGGGGAAUUGGAGCAAACGAUGUGGAACUAGGGCACUUCUGGUCUCAGAAGUAGAGAGGUUGCUUAAAGGUAAUUUAUAUUGUUUUGUUCAAAUGUUUAUGCAUUUUCUAAGACGGUAACAUGGGACUAUGCAGGGGGAGGUAGGGCUUUUGUUUUGUUUGGAAAACAAAAAAAAACCUUUCUCCCCUUUACUCUCUACCUUUUUAAACUCAGCAGCCACACUCUGGUUUCUCUUCAGAUCGUAUAAACUCAGCAGCCAGGGACUGAGAAUCCAACAGAAAAAAAAUAUUAAUAUCAUGGAAAGAAGUAGAAACCACAGGAGCGAGGCUUGGGGGCUUGUAGCACACUCAUGGCAAUAACUGUGGAGAAGGAAGUAGACAGAAAGGCUCUAGGGUUAGCUGACUGUGGUAAAGAUGUGGGAAGAGGAGUGUGCCCUGCAGAUUCUAGCUGGAGCUUGUCCACUGACUGGCAUUGUCGGUCCCCAGAGAUGCAGAACCCCCAUUCUCUCCCUAUGGGAGUAGGGACACCUUUCCGAACAGAAUUCUGUAUCACUUGUGUGAAAGUAAGUUUGCAGCCUGCUGUAAGACAGAAGAGAGAGGCGUAGGGAGCCUGUUGGUCUCAGCUAAAAGUUAUCCUCACAUGGUAGGUUCAUUUUGGGGGGCAUACCUGAGUGCUUCCACUGUAUAUUAUAUUUAAACCGGAAAAAUGUGGUCACACCUCUUUCUUUAAAUGAACUAACGGAAAGGACUCAAUUUAGAAGAAAAAGGUAUGGGUUUAAAAUGCUCGCGACAGGCUUAUUAUCUACUGGGUAAAGACUAAUGUGUCACUUAGGAAGUAACUAAAAGAAAAGGACCAAACAAAAAGCCACUCAGACAAAAGUGCCAUUCACGAUAACAGGCGGAGAGGCUGGGAUGUAGUCUGAGCACUUGCCUGGGUACACAAAGACCCGGGUUCUGUCCCUAGCGUCACUUAAGCCAAGCAUGGUGCUGCAUGCCUGUAAAACCCGCACUCUUGAGGUGGAGACGGGAUGGUCACGAGUGUAAGGUUCUCCUCCACUACAUAAUGUGUUCCAGGCCAGCCUGGGUCACAUGAAACCCCGUCUCAAAAACAAAAGCAAAACAAAGCUUCCCAGCGAAGCGACAGGCCAGGAGACUACAGAAAAAAACAAAAAACAAAAAACAAAAAACCAGGAAAGGGCCACAACCAGCCAUGAGGCAGAAUCCAUCGAGGCCACAUGGGGAAAGAGGACCAUGCAGCAGGAUGAGGAGCUGAGGUCAAGGCAGAAUGGUUUGUGGGGGACAAAGAAGGGCUGUGGGUGGUUUCUCUCUCCAGACUUUGAUGCUUCCUUUCUUUUCUUCUUUUUCUUAUCUUUUAUUCUCACCACUUACAGGGAGCUCAGUGAGACCAGUAAGACUGCUCACUUCCAAGCCUAAUGACGUGAGUUUAGUCCCCAGGAUCCCCAUGGUAGAACUGACUCUAAGUGGUCCUCUGACCUCUGCAUGCACAUCAUGAUACACCGCUCUUCUCCACACACAGGUACAUACACACAAAAGAAAUAAGUAAGAGGAAAAAGGACCUUACGGGCUUGGGUGGUAUAGCCAGAAUCAGCCAAUUUGUUCUAAAAAAAGAAAGGGAGGAAAGAAGGAAGGAAGAGAGAGAGAGAGAGAGAGAGAGAGAGAGAGAGAGAGAGAGAGAAAGAAAGAAAGAAGAAAAAAUCAAGCUAACAUUCUUUCACUGUAAAGCAGCGUUUCUCCACAAAAUAAAACAGAAAGGAAGGGAAAAAACCUCUUCUCUCUCCACAGUGAAACUGUGGCAUCUGUACAAAGAAGACAGUUCAGCACUGACAGCGUGUGAACAACAGACGCGACGGGCUCUGGAAACUUAGACAAACUGAUAUGGCCAGGCAGCACUGUCUGUUGGCGCUGGCUGAGUCCCAUUCAUACUGGGUACUAGCACAGUAACUUGAUAAUCAGACCAUCAUCCAUACCUGGUAUUUGUAUGUGACUGACACCCCUUGGCACCACAGAAUCACAGACACCCAAGGAGAUGAGGAAACAGAGAAAGGAAAUAAAUGCUUCUAGGCACAGAGGAGCAUGGUGGUCCUCGGCACUUCCCCAGAUAACAGAGAGGAAGGCCAAAUCCUUUCUCCAGGUAAUAACAGUAAACAUUACCAUGUGAUAUCUGCAUUUAUUUCUUAGAGCCAUUGCUCGGUGGUGUUGGGCUAAGCGUUGGGGCUGAUCUGAACAUGGAUGCGGUGGAGAUAACACAGUGUGGGGGGAUUUAGCAUCAAUCCUGGUCCCAAACAGCUCUACAGCUUUAUCUGAACAUUUGUGAAGAGGGAAAGGCUGCAUGCAGCCAAGCAGGAAAUUGACUGAUCUUUCUUGAAACGAGACUAGCAUUUCAAGAGCCAGCAUCCGCGAGGGACCCAGAAGUAGGGAGUGGGAAGGCAUAAAACUGUGUUGAGAGAUGGAGUGAAGGAAGGAUGUCCCUCCAUAGCUGUGGAUGCUCAGGUCAGGAGGGUUUGGUACUAGAGAUGGGGCUCAGUACUGGGAUGGGCACAGAGGCCAGGCACAGAUGUUUAAGACCAGAAGGAAGGUGCUGUGUGUGCCCCACAGUAGGGUGUGUACCUUAUAUAAGCAUCCUUCCUGUGUUCUUAGAUUCCUGUAGGCCAUGAAUGCAAAGUUCUGGGUUCACAGACACAGCUUAUCAGAGAUCCUUCUAUACACUGACUUUGUUGUCUUAACCUGCUAGGAGAAGAGAAUCAGGGUUGUUUCAGUGGGAAGGAAUGUGCAAUGGGAGUGGAGGGAUGGCUCAGUUAGUAAAGCAUUUGCUUUAUAAACAGGAAGAACUGAGUUUGAUGCCCAGAGCCCAGGUCAAAAUGCCAGGCAUGGUCUGUGCUUAUAAUCCCAGUGCUGGGGAAGUGGAGACAGGAGGAGUCCCUGGGGCUCACUGGCUGGCUAGUCUGCUUAAAUGGUGAGCUCUGGGCCAGUGAGAGACCCUGCUUCAAAGGAAGUGGUUAGCCUUCUGAGGAUGACACAAAGUUGUCUUCUGGCCUCUACCUAUGCACCUACACACACACACACACACACACACACACACACACACACACACACCCCAAAAAAGAAGUGCAAUGAUUGAAGAAAGCAGUUACCUGUUCUCCUCUCCUUCCAUCACAGGUAUGAAGUAGUAGUGCAGAAAGUAACUGGAUGAUAAGAGUGCAGGGUAUAAAAUUAGAUGGAUUUGAUGGGAAGGCUAUCUGUAGUUUGUCAAACAGGUCUACCCACUUGGUAAGUGAUGGAACACAGUUUGCUUCUGAGCUUCCUGGUAGACAAACCAAAGAGGUGAGCCCUCUCUGCUGUCCUGAAAGAUAAUCUCAAUGUCCCCAUGAGCAAUAAACAGCAAGUUUCAUGGAGCUGUUCCUUAGAGGAGCUGUUCCUUAGAAAAAUCUCUUUGCCUGGAGGUCUGCCCUGAAGCAGUCACAUGAAAAUCACAGGGUCUCUCACUGAAUCUGGACUCACCAUUUCAGUUAGCAGGGCUGCCUUGCAAGUCCUUGGGAUCUGCCCACGCUGGGGUUACAGACUUGCAUUGCCAUGCCUGGCUUUCAGAAUUUGCACAGCAAGCUCUUUAUCCACAGAGCCAUCUUCCCAGCUUUGAAUUCCACCCUCGAGGUUGCUCUUCAGCCCAGAGCUAAGAAGCCCAUGCUCUGAACCCUGAUGGGGGUAGGGACACAGUGUUGACAGCAGGUAGGGUGUGGACAGAGGUACCCUAGAGUCAACUCAGAGCUUAAUGCAUCCUCUCCCCACCCCGACUCUGACUCUGUUUCUGUCUGUGUCUCUCUGUCUCUCAGUGUCUCAGGGUCUCUGUCUCAUCGUCUCAUCUCUGUCUCUGUAUGUGUGUGUGUGUGUGUGUGUGUGUGUGUGUGUGUGUGUGAGGGGCAGCGCAACUGUGCUUCUGAACACAGGGCUACACCCUGAGAUGUUCGGAACACAACAUGGCACUGGAAACCACCGAGGCACCCUAAAGAUGGAGAACCAUUCAAGCCAGAGGGCUGGCACAGCACAGUCUUACAGAUAAACGAGAUCCUUGGUUGCUUAGUUUACCCCCAAUUACACUAGCCCUGCCUUGCACUGCAGUACCCACUGCUCAACCCUGAUCCAGGCUCCCAUGGGUUGGGGAAAUAACUGGAUAAGAUGAUAAAGCAGACAUUGGCUCAGCUCGGGCCAUCUAUUGGUAUGUCCGUGACCAAGCUAAUUACUUCAAAAUAUGGAUGGACAUCAGAGAAAAGGUACUUCAGUAAAUAGUGGUGCAGUCAUGAGAGAUGGAAAUGCUUUAGUCCAGACCAUUAAAUAAGAAUGAGGGAGAUGGGGGCUGGGGAUUUAGCUCAGUGGUAGAGCGCUUCCCUAGGAAGCACAAGGCCCUGGGUUCGAUCCCCAGCUCCAAAAAAAAGAACCAAAAAAAAAAAAAAAAAAGGAAAAAAAAAAGAAUGAGGGAGAUGGACAGUUAUUGGUGUGGAAGUGUGUCUAUGGAAUAUUGACAAGUGAAGAGCAGCUUACAGUGUGUGUGUGUGUGUGUGUGUGUGUGUGAGAGAGAGAGAGAGAGAGAGAGAGAGAGAGAGAGACAGACAGACAGACAGACAGACACAGAGAGAGAGAGGCAGAGAGAGAGAUGGACAAAGAAAGAGACCCACACACAGAGAGAAAUGUAGAUAAAGACACCUACCUAUCAAUGUACAAAAUUAUCUAAACCCUCAUGAGGUUUUAGAUAAUUUUUGUCUUCCUCUUAUGAUUGAUGCUUUUAACUUUUUUUUUUGAUUGAGCCUGCAUAUGUUACGAGUUACAGUCAUUCGAAAUUUGUUUUUUUUUUUUUUAAUUUUUAUUUUGUGUGUCUGGGUGUUUUGUCUGCAUGUGUGUAUCUUUAUAUAUGUCUGGUGCCGAAGGAGGCCAGGAGCAAGAGUUGAAUCCCCUGAAACUUGAGUAGCAGACAUGUGUGGGCUGCCAUGUGAGUUCUGGGGCUCAGGUUCUCUGCAAAAGCAGCUGGUACUCUUAAUCACCGAGCAGCUCUCCAGCCCUUAAAUUCCUUUUUAAAAAACGUGUUAAUUGACUCGUGUAAGAUAGGUUAUAAAAAUAAUCUCGCAACGCUAGGUGUGGCAACUUAAACCCACAACCCCGGCGUUCCUUAGGCAAAGGCAAAAUGGCUGCAAGUUUGAGGCCAGACUAGACUACAUAAUGAGGAAUGUCUCCCAACUAAACAAGUAAGCAGGCAAACGAACAAAACAGGUAUCAAGGAAACAUGUUCACGGUCUAAAACUUGGGAAAUUAUUCUUAAAAACUGGAAAACCAAUAAAUAAAUAAAUAAAUAAAUAAAUAAAUAAAUAAAUAAAUAGGGGGUUGGGGAUUUGGCUCAGUGGUAGAGUGCUUGCCUAGCAAGCGCAAGGCCCUAGGUUCGGUCCCCAGCUCUGGGAAAAAAAAAAACCUGGAAAACCAAACCUACAUUUUGUACAAUUAAUAUACCCUAAAAAAUUAAUAAGGAUCCCGUCCAGUUCUACACUGAGCCUCACAAGCUGCUCUGUUCACUGAGUUUUAAAGAGAAUCCUGUCUAAGCUAAAAUUUCUCUGCUUUCCAUACCACAGUGUACCAAAUGGCUUUUGUAGAUGCUAGACACCUGGUUUCUUAGCAGUUUCUAAAUGUCAUUCUCCCGGUGAAACCGCUCAGGGUAAAGCCGGCUUUUGGCUCCCAAAGAAAAAUAGAAACGGAGCUUACAAUUCAAAAUCACAAGGCGCUGUGUGAGCUUGAAUUUAAAACCCUCAGUAUACAUGUUCCAGCCACUUCAAAGGAUAGUCUUUCCCUUCCAACUGCCUCGUGAGAGGUGCCUGUGUUACCGAGUUCAUCGUCUGGGGGACUGAUUUUUUUUUAACAUCUUCACUAAUUGGGCUGGGUGUACAUAAAUUAGUACAGUUUGCCUAGCGUGCAUGAAGUCUGGGUUCUAUUCCCAGAACCUCAAAAACAAGUGUGAUGGUGCAUGCAUGUAAUCUCAGCACUCUGGGAGGUGGGGCCAGGAAGAUCAGGAGAUCGAGGUUAUCCUCAGCAACAUACUGAAAUUGAGGUUAGCCUAAGCUAUACAAGAGCUUAGCUCAAAAAGAAAACAGCUGAAGAAGUAGCUCAGCAGUUGAGAGGAGCUGCUCUUGCAGAGGACUCAGGCUUGGUUACCAGCAGGCACGAGGCUGCUCACAGCUGCCUAUAACUCUUGUUUUAGGGAUCUGAUGGAUCCUCUGACCUUCAGAGAAUCCUGGAUGCACAUAGUAUACACACACACACACACACAUACACAUACACACAGACACACACAGACACACACACAUACACACACAGACACACUCACGCAGACACACAUACACACACACAGACACACAGACACACACACACAUACACACAUACACACAGAGACACACACAGACACACACACACAGACACACACAGACAGACAGAGAGAGAGAGAGAGAGAGGCAGACAGACAGACGACUGACUGACAGACUAUGGAUAUGAUAAAUGUUGAGAAAUGUGAGUUUUAAAACCUCCAGUCACUCCAGUAAAGACUCAGAGACCAGAGAGGAGGUGCGGAGUGAAUGAAGAUACCCAGAGAGCUUGUAGCACUGAUGGUGCAUUUGACUAUUCUUUUUUUUUUUUAAAGAUUUAUUUAUUUAUUAUAUAUAAGUACACUGUAGCUGUCUUCAGAUACACCAGAAGAGAGCAUCAGAACUCUUUACAGAUGGUUGUGAGCCACCAUGUGGUUGCUGGGAAUUGAACUCGUGACCUCUGGAAGAGCAGUCGGGUGCUCUUAACCGCUGAGCCAUCUCUCCAGCCCGCAUUUGACUAUUCUUAAAGUUAACCAAAGGAUAUGUUGGCAAAUUUAACCAACAUUGUUCUUUUCUUGAGUUGGUACUCCUAUGUAAUCGAAGACAGCCUUAAACCCAGCACCCUGAGUCUUGGAGUUACAGACAUGCAUCCUCCUGAACGGCUCUAAGAUACUCUUAAACAACAGGAGUGCUGGAAAGGAACUUCCACUCCAGGCUUCAGGGCUGGGGCUGGGGUGCAGCCAGUGGCUGGGAGCUUGCCUGGCACGCAUGAGGCUCUGGACUCCAUCAUCAGGACUGUGGUAGUCUAGGAGAUGUUUGAUUUAAGGAUAAAUCGAGAGGCAAGCUCCAAUGGAGAAAUAGAAAUAGAUCUGUCAAUUCUGUAAACCACAAAGCAGUGUGAGCAGACGCGUAAGGUGUCUGAUAAGAAAGAACAAUGGGAAAAGGGCCGGCAUCUCGAAUUCGCUUUAGUCCUUUUAACCUUUGCUGAGUAGUGAUGGGCACCGCUAUCCGUGUCGAGGACUCAAAACCACGCAAAUACUUAAAAGAUGAGAGCUCAGGGGAAGAUGAAAACGUAAGCAUUUUUCUAAAAGAUUAAAAAUAAGGGGUUGGGGAUUUAGCUCAGUGGUAGAGCGCUUGCCUAGCAAGUGCAAGGCCCUGGGUUCGGUCCCCAGCUCCGAAAAAAAGAAAAAAAAAUAAGCACACAUAUCUAUGCUUACUGGACAUUUUUAAUACAUAUAUAUAUACACACACAAUAACCAAAAAUUUACUCACUGAUAAAAAUUAUUUUUCCCUCUAAAAUUACUUCAUUUUUUUUAGAAUGACAAGCAGUGUAGCACAUUUUUAAAAUUCCUUUAGUUAGUACCUCUAAUAUUUAAUUUAAAGCCCUUGGGAAGCAGAGGCAGGACUCACACUGGACGGGGGCAGAGAAGCUUCACAAGUCAUCAUCUGACCUCUCUUAGGUGCACCACGACCAAUGCACGCUUACUACAUCCAUAAAAUAAAUAGUUAAUAAAUAUAAAAAUGACUUUCAAGUUUUUCAGGAUUGCAUGUGUCUAAAGCUUUCGGUGCUCAUGUUGUAGCAUGCAUAAUUUUGAAGGGCUGAACGCAUUUGAGGGAUUUUCGAGCAGGUGAGUUGUGGGUUAUUGGCUUUGGGGAGGAACCUCUUAUUUCUGUCCUUACAAAUCUCUAAUUUUUCUUUUUUUAGACAAGGUCUCAAGAAGCCUUCUCAGAGGUCUCAAGAACGCUGUUCUCAGAGUUGCCACACAACUAAGGACGGCUUUGUUCGCUCCACCCUCCUGCCUCCAGCAGCAGGGGGCUGGAUUUAACAGGAACAUCCCACAGCAUGGUCCAUGAGGUGCUGGGAGGGCACCAGGGCUUCAGGCAUGCAUGGCAGCAUUCUACCUACUGAGCCUUAUCCCUGCCCACUUACGUUUGCACUUAAUUUUUAAAUUUUACCAUGACAGGUCCUGCGCCCGAAAAUAAGGAGGGUGUUUUAGGAACUGAUUGUAUCACUUUAAAAAGCGCAUUACAUCUCAUUAAAUGCACAGAUGCCUGGCAAGUGACGCAGGGGAAAGUCGCACCGCGAUGAUUAAGACCCAGAGCCCUCAUUCCAUUCUUUUCAGUCUUAAUUUUUUUAUGUAACAAGUAAUAGUGGCUUGUAUGUAUGAGAGGUAAAAAUUACUGUUAUAGCCAGGUGUACUGGCACACGCUUUUAAACAGAGCACAGAGGAGGAAGAGACAAGCAGAUCUCUGUGAGUUUGAAGCAAGCCUGGUCUACACAGCAAGUUUCAGGCCAGCCAGGACUACACAGUGACUCUGUCUUUAAAGAUAAACAUAAAACCUUUGAAAGGUCAUUGUAUCCCGGAGGCCUGGUGUAUCUUCCUUGAACCUCUACACACUUUCUCAGUCUUGGAAAUAUGACAUUGGACACGCGGUAUGAGUCACAUCCUGCUUCAGCAAGCCUUGGCGAGACCUUGCAGAAAACAGCUUUACAAUGUGAGGGCCUGUGUACAACUUGCUGUCAGUCAUUGCUGGAGAUCAGGGGCAUGAGGCCCCCAGAAGCACCUCCUACCUUCCACACAGACAGAAAAAGAAAGACUGAUGAACAGGUUCCAGUGAUUCAAAAUUCAUUUUUUUAAGAAUCCUAGAUAAAUUGGGUAGAGAUAAGUGUUACUGCAUGGGACUCGGGUACGGAUUUUUAUGGUACAACGGCAGAAUUGACUUCUACCGGUGUCUGUGUAGCCAUCAAAUCCCACGGUAUUGACUGGUCUUGUUGCCUGACUAAUAGCUGAACCGGCAAAAGGGCAUUGUUUGGACAACAUAUCCUCUGGGCUGUGUUUCAGCUCUCAGAACUCUAAGAAAGCAGUUUGUGCUCAGGUAUGCAUGACCAGUGUCUCCCAGGAGAAGCCAUCUUUUAAAAUGACUCUAGAGAAGACAGGCCUCUUACUGAAGAAAGACCAGGGACUAAUGGCUCCUCAGCGGGCAGUGGAGUUGGCUGUGGACAUUUUGGGAAGGAGCUCUUCCCAGAACCUUCAGUGUGAGUGUUUGUGGUAGAAGUCUAUCUGCUCACUUACAACCACGAUGCAGUGCCCCUGGAUGCCUUUCAUGGCCCCUUCUCAGGUUACAAACUUCCUGGACCUGUAGCAGCCUCAGGGAAGCCAGGCACAGCAAACUAGAAGGGUGCUUACCCAUGCCAGCACCACCCUGGUACAAGGACUGGCACAUAUAUCUGUCACCCACUCCAUGGUCAACUCAGGCAACUUAGUGAGAGUCUGUCUCCAAAAACAUAAAAUUUAAAAACUUGAGGAAAGGCUGAGCUUAGAGCUCAGUGACAGGGCGCUACCCUGGCAUGUGUCGGGGCAUGGGUCCACUCUUAGCAUUGCAAGACAAAUGGUCAUCUAUAGAUUGAUUGGCCUCUGGAUUGCCAGUUUGAGGCCUUAGAGAGGGAAAAGUCUAUACUGUGGACUCAUGUCUCAGCUAUGGCCUGUGAGACUCUCUCAGCAUCAGUGAUCUUGUCUCCAAGGUUUGGCAAAGUCCUGGAAUUUGCCAGCAAUCCUUGGCCUCAGUCACUCCUCUAGAGAGAGAGGAGAGGGUUUUGUGUCCUUAGGUCAGUCCUUAGGACACUGCGUCGUCUCUCCUGGUUGGGCAUCUUGGUAAUGGUUUCUGUUGAUGCUGGGGUCAAGUUGGGUCUAGUAGAUCUGAAGCCCCUAUGGCAGCUCCAUCCCUCAGUCACUCCUGGAAGUGAGGGCUGGGCCACUGGGGUUGUGUACCAAUGAGCACUCUCCUCAUGAGUGCUUAAGAUGUUCUCAAAGGUCCCUGUGUAGGUCCCAUCCCCCAAGGAAGCCUCUCAGACCUGAGUUACACUGCACCUACAUACAGAUCCAGAUCCUGGGGAGGUUGCUGAGAUGGUGACGAUAAAAUUGUUGCAGACACUUAAAGCUUUGCUUUUUGGUUUUUGUGUGGGUGCUGUCCUGGUGGAGGAACAUCAGAUGUCCUUGAAUGGGUGGAUUAGAGGGGUCCAUUGUCUUGCCCCACCCCCUGAGCGGGAAGAGAGGCUGACAGUAGUAAGAGAGGAAGUCUUAGACUCAGUCUGGGCUGGGUUUGAGUCUUCCUGGGGCUAAAAACUAUGACUGCCACUAAGGUUUGUUCCAUGAGCACAUGAGGGAUAGGAAGAAUGGGGAGCCCUCAAACAUGAGCAGGUGACAUAUUUACAAAACCGUGCAGAAUGUGGCAGCAGAGGAGUGGCUCUCAUUCCGUAUGAAUGUGGUACAAAAGCCAUUUCUCAGCUGUCCAUGAUAGCGCAGGCCUGCCAUCCCAGCACUUUGUAGGCCAUGAGUUAGAGUUAGCCUGGCCCACAUAGUGAGCGCUAUCCUCCUCCCCCUCCCCGUUUCUCUCUGCCUUAGCGACAGUAGCUUAUGAGUCUCACUCUGCUCCUUUGAAGCCUCACUUCUAAUUACUUUUAAUUAGUUCAUCUUGCUUGAUUAAAAAGCGAUGAACUUGGGGACCUUCCCGUUCAGAUGUAUUACUCACAGCUCUGGCUGGGCCUGAGUGCCUAUAGCCUGGAGAAGGACACCCAGGGGUGAUGUCAGGGAACUUCAAAUUAAGAAGGAGGUAGGAGGGGGUCGGGGUGGGGGAGAUGGUGACACUGGGUUCUUGUUUUAAAUUGGGGCAGGAAUGAAGGAAGGCAGUGACACUCAUCUGUGACAUUUGAAAAACCUUUGUGGGACACAGAUGUUCAGGUAGAAGGGUAGCCUAUUUAUAGAAACCCAUGUCAAAGGAAGAAGCAAGCCUGCUUCUCAAACAAAGAGAGACAAUUAACCUAAGACCUUCCCUGGCUGUGCAUACAGUGGGAGAGAUACCUUGGAGGUCACUCGGGCCAGAUGAUGCUGGGCAGCCCCACGUGGAGGCUAGUCUAGUUCUCUUUCCCAUCCCUUCCUUGAGGGUGAUGAGGGUGCCUCCGGGCUGUGCGUGGACAUUUUUCUGAGCAGUCUUUGGGGUAAGCUGGCUAUUGGCUCACGCUCAGCUGUCACUGAGUUUGGUCAUCAGUGUGCUUCUCUGCUCCGACCACCAGAAUUAGCACCUUUGUGUCUCCGUUGGUCCUUGAAGAGCAGUGUCCUUACAGUGCAGUUAGGAAGGUGGGUGGCAGGCUGAAGGCCUUUCACCUGCACAUGUAGGUGAUCGGGCACAGCUACUGUGGAGCAGACCCUCAGCCUGCCUCACCUUACCAGAGACUCUGCUGUGAUGGGGGGAAAUCUCCUAAGUCCAGACCGUGCACUAGUGUUUCAUAAAGAUCUCUUUUCUUUCAUUGAUUAGGUAAUUUAUUUACUUUACCUACUGACCAAAGCUUACCUUCUCCUCUCAUUUCCCAGUCCAACCCUCCACUCCCACCCAUCCAAAAAAAGAAAACAACACGCCUUCAGAAAGCCGCUCAGGGUGUUCAGACUGAGCAGAGACUGUCCCCACUACUGCCGCAAAGAGGCUUUUGUUUGUUUGUGUUUGUUUUUGUUUUUGUUUUUAAAGAUCUCUUGGUCUUGGGGUCAGCUGAGGACUUAGCACCCCAUCUCAUCUAUCCAAAAUAAGCAGAAAAAAAAAGAGACAUAGUAGACAUUCAUAGAGCAAUAGGUUGUUUUGUAAAAGACAUUCCGACAGAUGCUGGGAACAGGAACAGAAAGAAAACAAAGCCACCACGAAAACUCCACCCCAGGAACCGUGGUGCCCCCAGCACCCAGACCUUGUUUUCUAUUCUUUGCUAGCAAAAGAAAUCAGGCCUCCCUGGAGAAAUGGUCAAUUCUAAAGUUGGAACAUCUUUCGGUUGUUCUGUCGUAGUAAAAUACAUGUAACAUAAAACUUGCCAUCCAGUAGACAGAGCUUCAUGCUGCAGCCCAGGCUUGCUGGGAGCAUGGUAUGAAGGUGUUUGCACCCACCGAUCUCCAGAGAAACCAGGAAUGUCAAGCACACAGGAAAGAUGAAAAAACCUGCUCUUCAUUCAGAAAGCUGGGAAUUGGAAGUGAUCAAUAGCCUGGUGACCUUUGCUAUCUGUUGGGCCAGGCCAUAUCAAGCUUCUACAACCAGGACCAGAGGUGGCUAAUAUCUCACAGGACCCCUACCCUGUCUGCAUGACUGAGACCAGGCCAGACCCUUAGGCUCCUAAGCUAGCACAGACAGCCUAUCUCUAGAACCCAUCUUCUUGGAAGAAAUGGCGUUACCCUGAGUCGAGUUUCAGUGAAAUUAGGCUUUCUUGUAUCGCACCAGGAAACAUUAUUUUCCAAAUUAUACUGGGCUUAAAUAUACUGGGAAUAGAUGCCUGAUACCAGGCUAUUUAGAAGUCUUGACUGAGGAUGAUGAGGUCAAUCUGACUGAGUUUUCAUUCUCAGCUCUUCAAGGUUUGCAUCUCUGCCUGACAUCUGUAGAGACCACUCACAGGCUGGCCUCAGACUUGUUUAUCCUCCUGCCUCAGCUUCCCAAGUGCUGGCAGUACAACCAAGUACAACAAGCCUGGUCAAAAUUUAGCUUCGUAAAAUAUAAUUUUUUUUAAACACUUACUUAUUUUGUGUUGGGGGCAGGCUUGUGUUGUGGUGCGUGUGUGGAGGUCAGAGAAAGUUAGAGCCACCAUCUAGGCUCUGAAGAUCCAAUUCAGGUGGUCAGGCUUGGCAGCAAGACCCUUUACUCUCUGAGCCAUCUUACCCCCAAGUCGUAAACCUUGCUAAGUGUGUCGUUCAGUGAUACUAAAUUUGCUGGCAAUCACCUGCCUCCAUCACCACCACUCAUUUUCACAACUGCAGAACUGAAACCAUAGUGUUAAUCAGCUCCUCCCACCCCCCACAGCCAACCCUGGACCCUCUCUCUCUCCCUCUGUUGGUUAUCUUAAGGUUCCCUAAGACACUUACUUUUCCCUGUCUCAUCCAUUUCUCCUACAAUGAUGUAGUAUGUGUUUGAAUCCCCUUCCCUUUGAAAGCCAGAAGCAUUUUGUAGGGCCUGAGCAUCAAGCAUUCACAAAACUGUCUGGAACACGUGUCGGCAAUAACCCGAGUCUUUGUGCAGAAGCUCUGCUCGUGGAAUAGAAUCUCCACUGUGGGCUGUGAACAACAGCUGGUUCCUUCCAGAAUAUUCCAAACAAGCAGGACUGGUAAGCUUUAGCUUCACCGUGGAAAAAGCUGACAGAGCAGCUUCAGACAGGCACACAAGGUCAACAACUGUCAUGGUGACUGACUGUGUGUGUCAGUCUAGGUUUUGGACCCAGACUCUUGGUGAAGGGGUUGGAGAAAAGAUCAGACUGAUUGCUAUUGGCUUCUCCAUUCUCAAGUGCUGGGUUAUAGGCUUGUUCUCCUGUGCCUGGCUGCUAUUCUUUUAACUGUGAUAAAUUCAUGUUGCUUGUUGUAAGUAGUUCAUAACAGGAAAGCGAGCCCAGGGUGUAGGGAAAUUUUCCAUGCCAUCUAUGAAUGUCUUAAAAUAAUUUUUUUAAAAAGUUGUUUUAAAAGGAAAUAUGGCCUGAGGCAGAUGGAGAGAAAGCUGCGCUGGCGGGCAGAAGGGAGCAGAGCCAGCUGGAGCCAGGAGUCAGGGCAAACUUUGGAAGCUCAGUUUUCUUGGUUAUGGUGUGUGUGGGAGGAAGAUGGGGGCUGCCCCUUGUCUCCUGGAGCUGAUGAUUUUCCCCGCUUCCUCCCCAGCUCCGCAUCUAUUCCUGGGAUAUGUGCUAACCCUGAGAUUCACACCCUGAACUUCCAGGACCCCAGGAAUGUGGGACUCAGAGGCCAGUUCUGCUGGAGUCAGUGCCACAGCAAGGAUGCUUAGAGGAUGACUUUCCCAAGGACACCAUUGCUGUCGUCUAGGUGCCUGGACUUUACAUGGAACUGGUGCUAACAACACAUGCUGAGUGCUCCUGAAAUGAAGUUCUAGAACCCACAGCCAUUGGACAGGACUCUAGUGGCAAAGCAAUGCCCUCCAUGUUUGCUUGUCUAUUUUUGAGGCAGGGUUUUCUGCCAACCAGGCUGGCCUUGAGCUCAUUAUAUAGUUAUGUAUGAUCCUGAACUUGUCAUUCUCCUGCCUCAGCCUCCCGAGUGUUGGGAUAACUGGUGUGUUUCCUAAAAGCUAGAAUAUGUCUUUACAGACUCCAGCAUGGAUUCAGGGCGUAAAACUUGGCCCUGCUUGCAUCCUGUUACUUGACCUGUAGAGAUCACCUUUUUGUGCCUGUCUAUGUCUUCCUAGCAAAGGAAACCCCUCGUUGCAUGGCUGCCUCUCUCAGGCUCCUCCGAUAGGAAGCUGCCUUUCAGUCUUCGUAUUUUGUCUUUCAAGAAACACAUGUCAUAUGCUUUGUAAAAUGUCAAAGAGCCCAUUGAAAAUAAAUUUAUUUUUAUGUUAUUUUCUACAAAA